AAAACAAAGGGUCCUUUGUUCCCGAGAUUUAGCUGUCCAGGGGUCCUGUGUUCCUCAGCCCUAUACAGUAAAUGGAAACCUGAGAAAGAUGUUCUCCAGCUCUGCAUACACUCAGUAUGACAGGGGUUAGACUAGGCAACUAUUAUGACUCUGACAGUGAUGAAAUUGUCCAGGCGAAGGUCUUUGUCUAAAUAUAGUUGGUCCCUCUGUUCGGAAAACAGUUCCAAAAUUAAUUGUAGCCCAAGAAAUUAAAUUAUACUAAUGCUAAUACUAUAAUAAAUUAAUUUAAAACAACUUCUAAUAGGAAGUGAGAAAAGGGCUACAGGUGGUUAAAAAAAGAAGUAGAUGGCCAGGUUUAGUUACCAUUUUUGAACAGGUUAAGUUAAGGAAAGAGGUCAAAUGUUGGGGUAAGGUAAAAUAGCCAUAACAACUAAUGAUUCCCAUCUCCAAACAGGUUAAGAUUAGGAAAAAAAGACCUGGGAAGGGGGAAUGAAAUUGCAUUGAUGUAUGUAUUGAUGUGCAGAAUAAGCCAAAGCUGUUUUAGGGUCAGAGUGUGACAAAAAAGUGACAUAAACACAAGAGGGAUGUGUGUGUCCUAACAGAAUAUUGAUCUGGGGAACAUAGGACCCUGGGAAUGUGGAUACACUCCAGAUCUGCCGACAAGUGACAAAGUGCCGAGGGUGUUGGCAGUUCCUGGCAGCUUUGUUGCAUUAGAUGUGGUUUUAUUAGUAGACAAAUAAGAUAAAAGGGGGGGAAAGGGUCUGUUGCCCGUCCCUUUUCUAGGACAAAGCAGUGAUAUUACAGCAACAAACAAGACAUCACUAAGAGAACCUCUCACAGUCAUGAUGCUUGCAGGUUUCCUCUUUCUGCUCCUCACAGGUGGGAGUACCUCCAGUUACUCAGAACAACCAGAGCUUCUUGAUGUUCAACAGAAGUCAAAUCAGAGCUUUGGGAAUGGUGGAAAUACCUCCAGUUACUCAGAAGAAUCAGUGCUUCAACAGAACUUCAAUCAGAGCUCUCAGGAAGAUGGUGAGUCCUCCAACAGUAGCUGCAGUUAUCGGGAUCUUUUGAAACACUUGAACCUCACCAAAAAUGAGUUGCACACCAUGACCCUGCCUGUUAGAGACCAUACAUCCACCAUGCAAAUAGAACUGGCUGUACUUCUCUAUGCCAUUCUAGAUGUGAAAGAGAAGGACCAGAAGUUUGUUUCGUACAUCUGCACUUCUAUGUUUUGGAAAGAUGAAUACAUUCGCUGGGAUCCUAAGGACUUCUGUGGCAUUGAGAUGAUGUAUAUUUCCUCUCAGCUAGUUUGGAAGCCAGAUUUAAUUGUCCAAGAGAUGACAGAUCAGGGCAAGGCCCCUCCAAGUCCUUAUCUUAUCCUUUGGAAUAACGGUGAAGUCUUCUUUAAGAAGUACAUGGUGGUGGUCAGCAACUGCAGGAUGCACGUGUACAAAUUUCCCUUUGACAUUCAGAGCUGCAACCUCACUUUCAGGUCUGCUAUACAUUUCGACAAGGCAAUACAGUUUGAUAUCAUCCUUGACUCCUCAACGACCACCGAGUGGUCUCGCGAGUUGAUUCAGACCCAGUCCGAGUGGUUGUUUAUCAACAUGACCGUCAACAACAUCACUGUCCAUGACCGAAGCAGUGUCAUUUACACUAUCUCCAUGAAGAGGCGGUCUCUCCUCUACAUCGUCAACUUCUUACUACCCAUCCUGUUCUUCUUGUGUCUGGACUUGGCCUCCUUCCUGGUCUCGGACAGCGGGGGCGAGAAGCUCAGCUUCAAGGUCACUGUGCUGCUUGCUGUCACUGUGAUGCAGCUUAUUCUCAAUGAAAUUCUGCCUUCCUCUUCAGACAGGACUCCACUUAUAGCUAUUUACUGCAUUGGGAUGUUUGGUUUGAUGCUGCUGAGCCUCCUGGAGACGAUUGUGGUGAUGUAUCUGAUGGAGAAAGACUCUGAAUCCCAAGACAACGACGCAGACCAAAGCCUGUGUAAGGACUGUGGAGACAAAGAGAGCAAAGUCAGCUUCCACAACUGUUUUAGAGAGGUUAAGAAAUUACACUGUGCGUGUAUCUGUGAUGUGUCUCCUGGUGAAGCGCCAUCUGAACGGCUGUCGAUGGCCAAAGAGGGCGGCAGCAGCCAACUGACAGAGGAGUGCCGUGACUCUGAAAAGCUCUCGGAUGAGCUGGUGGAGACGAUGAAAACUCUGAGUCUGCUCCUCAGCAGCAGGAAGGAAGGAAAGAAGAUGGGCUACUGGACCAGAAUGACUAAAACAAUCAACAAAGUUUUCUUCAUUUUCUACAUCACAGCUGCCUCUGUGUUUGUAGUCUGCAUGUUUAUCAUGUGGAGUACUCCAAAAAACUGACAUGACUGUCAUGCUGCAGGUCGACCAACUCUGGUGUCACUAACUUGAGUCACUGAUCACACACUUUACUCUCACUCUCCUGGCCUAUAUACCUAAUCCUCCUAAACACAUAUUAAAGAAGAAUUAUAUAUGGAGGUGUUAAAAAAAUAGCAUGUAAUCCUACAUAAAUAUAACAGACAAUGUUUAUAUUUACCUAAAAACAUAAUAUGUAAAAAAAAAAAAAAAAAAAUCAGAUAUGUAAACUAUGACACAUGCAGUUAAAGUGCACACAAAUUCAUAUCAUAUUUGUUUUCACAGCUUUGUUUUGUUGCCGCAGGAACUUUAUCUAACCUCUAUUAACUGACAUUGCCAAUGCAACAUGACUAAAAUAAGAAUGAUCAAAAUCACUGUAGCACAAGCUGACAUAUCCUGACUGUUCAUCCC